rnacentral:rRNA from 1 species
AACGAACGCUGGCGGCAGGCCUAACACAUGCAAGUCGAGCGAGGACUUCGGUCCUAGCGGCGGACGGGUGAGUAACGCGUGGGAACGUGCCCUUUGCUUCGGAAUAGCCCUGGGAAACUGGGAGUAAUACCGGAUGAGCCCUUUGGGGGAAAGAUUUAUCGGCGAAGGAUCGGCCCGCGUUGGAUUAGGUAGUUGGUGGGGUAAUGGCCUACCAAGCCGACGAUCCAUAGCUGGUUUGAGAGGAUGAUCAGCCACACUGGGACUGAGACACGGCCCAGACUCCUACGGGAGGCAGCAGUGGGGAAUCUUAGACAAUGGGGGAAACCCUGAUCUAGCCAUGCCGCGUGAGCGAUGAAGGCCUUAGGGUUGUAAAGCUCUUUCAGCUGGGAAGAUAAUGACGGUACCAGCAGAAGAAGCCCCGGCUAACUCCUUG